rnacentral:misc_RNA from 1 species
AGCCAUGGAGAAAAUCAAUAUUUUUCCCUCUUGCCACAAACAAUUCACCAAGAAAUUUAACAGUGCCGUUCCCUGGUUCCUGGUGCUCUACCUGCAGUCACGAGGAUUACUAAUUACCUGGAAAUAGACUAGUGAGUGAGGUGUUUAGGAUGACAUAAGUUUGGUGAAAAAACAAAAUUGAGGCCAAAUAAAGGAAAAUAGUACUGUAUAUUGAUGGAGGAAUGUAUAGGUGUAUGGUGAAGGAUUUGCGUAGACAACUCGGAUCUAUCUUUAUUACAAGAAAAGGCACCACCGGAGCCGUGUCAGACUCGUGAACACCCUCAUCUUCACCAUCAUCAUAACACAGGAGCCUUGGAAUGUCAGGCUCUGACUCAGGUUCCUCGUAUCUGGUGAUGAACAGUGUUGAUGCAUCAGCCUUACGAGGAUGGCGCGUGGCAUUGGCAGGGGGACAGCAGCUGGUGAUGAACAGUGUUGGGGCCUCUGGACUGGCUGGCAUUACUGGCAGUGGGGGGUCAGGUGACCCAUUAAGUGAAGAUGGAGGGGGAGGGGGAGGACCGGGGGAUAAUGUUACAACACAUAUUACGGGAACCAGUGAUGACGAUGACGACGACGUUCCGUCUUCCCCUGGAAGUUUUGAUGAUGAUGAAGGUUCAUUACCAGGAGAAGACGACGUGACCGCCCAGUUAGCGGCGGCAGGUGGGUGGUCAGGACCUGUUGGAGUGGCUGCGGCUGCUGCCAUCGCCUCGGCUAAGAAACGUAAACGACACCAUAGUUUUGAGCUCAACCCGUCUAUACGUAAAAGACAACAGACUCGACUUUUAAGAAAGUUAAAGGCAACAAUUGACGAAUACUCGACAAGAGUUGGGCAGCAGGCGGUAGUGGUUGUUGCAACGCCUAGCAAAUCGGGAAAUAAUUUCAAAUGUUUUGGAGCCAAACCUCUAGAGGAUGUGAUGAAAACGUUACGGCAAAUGUUAAUGACGGAACUGGAAAGUGCAUUAGCACAACAAGCCCCUCCCCCUCCUCAAGACGAUCCAUCCCUUCAUGAACUACCGCCACUUGUUAUUGACGGAAUCCCAACUCCUGUUGAAAAAAUGACUCAAGCACAAUUAAGAGCGUUUAUUCCACUAAUGUUGAAGUAUUCCACAGGGAGAGGCAAACCUGGUUGGGGAAAAGAAUCGACGAGACCGCCUUGGUGGCCGAAAGAUGUUCCGUGGGCAAAUGUGAGGAUGGAUGCUAGAUCAGAUGACCAAAAACAGAAGGUAAAGGUUUCUUGGACAACUGCACUUCGUCAAAUUGUUGUCAACUGUUACAAAUAUCACGGGCGGGAUGACCUUUUACCGGCUUUUAAUGAAGAGGAUGAGAAAAAUCAGGUUGGAGGCCAAACCAGCUCAGUGUACUCUGGCCCAGUAGUGCAGACCAUCAGUAACCCAGAUGGCACUGUGUCUAUUGUCCAAGUGGAUCCUAGUAACCCUGUAAUUCAGUUACCUGAUGGAACUACUGCGCAUGUUCAAGGAAUUGCCCAUGUAAGUUGGCAAUAUUCGUCUAUCACAACACAGAAUGGGGAGUCGCUGGAUGGGGAGAGUGGAGGAUCUGGUGGCUCGGUAGCCAUUGACCUUAACCAGGUGUCUGAAGGGACUCUUGCCCAUGAAGGGACCAUAUUACUAACAGGAGAAGAUGGAUCACAAAUUCCAGUUAAUGUGUCGGGCUCGUAUCCAGUAUCAGGGAUGAUAACAGUGCCAUUACCAGUGUAUCAAACUGUGGUGGCCAACAUCCAAGGAUCUGAUGGCCAACCUCUACAAGUGAUGACACCAAUUGUGCAAGUCCCCAAACUAGAACCUGGUCUAGAAAACACCGUUGAAGUUUCUGCAGGUCUUAAUGCCUCGCUGGAUGCAUCAACAAUAAUUUCUUCUGGACAAGGGCAUGUACAGGCUGUUGGCUUAUCAUCUCAGAAGUAUGAAUAUCAACUGUUGCCUCUUUCUUGAACACGUAAGAAGAAUUAGUGUGCAGUGUUAAUGCAUCUGCGCCAAUGACCUCAUUGUUACGGCGACAGAGGAUGAUGAUGAUGAUGAUGAUGAUGGGAGUGUUGACAUGGUGGACAAGGAAUGAUGAGGAUCUUGUCUUCUGGUGAUGGUAACAGUGAUAGGCUACCAUGAUGCAUUUGUCCAACAUGAUAGUAACCAGUGGCUCUGCAAUUUCUCAUCCAGCUUGUCUUUCUGCCCAUCUUAGCUUCUCAACCAAAGACUAGGGUGUGCUUUCUGGAACGUGUCUCUGAAAGUUGUGGAGCAUUCUUUAGUCAAAACUCCAUAAUAUGGCCAGUAUUAUUUAACUUAAUUCUUUCAACUUGGCCAGUUACAAAAUUCAUACAUCCAGUGUCUGCGAAUUUUGGCCCUAGAUUCAGAUUUAAACCAUACCAGACAAAGCCAUUGAAAGGAGUGUGAUCCUCCACAGGAAACUAUUUUUGUACGAGUAUAAAAUAUGGUGUUGGAUAGAAUGUAACAUUCUGCAAGCUAUGCAGAGUUCAGAUUUUUAACGUGAAAACCAAUAUUAAGUUUUGGUAUGGCUUUAAAUUUGUCUUUUAUCUAGUUAAAUACACUGUAUGAAGGAAGAAGUAUGUUUGAUACUGUCUUGCUUAUUGUUUCAGAUCAUUAGAAAAUACCAUUUAUUGAUUUAAAACUGUAAUGAAGACCUUGUUCAUUGAGUUUCACCUCUAGCAAAGAUUAUUUUUUAAGAGAGCCUGUAAGGGUAACAGCUUUACUGUUGAAAUAUAUUAAGGUAACUUAGAUCAAAGAGGCACUUAAUAGGUUUGAAGUGUUUAGUUUAAUGUAUUGUGUAUGUGCAAUUAGGUCCCGAGUGUAUCCUUUAACUUGAAAAUAUUUAUUUAAUACCCCCCUUUCCCCACCUAUGAAGUUGAUGUAGUUUGCUUUGUAUUUGUCAUUUGUAAUAGAAGUUGCUCAGUGUUGUAUAUCUAAGUAACACCUGUUAGCUACGGAAGUAGGAGUUCUGUUGGUAGAAUUAAACAAAACAAUUGCAUGCAUGUGUUGAGGCCUGCUUUUUUUAAGUCACUUUUUCAUAGCAAAUAACAUCACAAUGAUUGAAAAGACCAGCAGAUCUAUAACUGAAUUUUUGUGGACAUAUAAAUUUUACAGAUUAAUUUUAUCUUUUAAAUCAAGGCAUCAGUUUUGCUUUAGUAAUUUCGUACAGAAUUUGAUGGAAAAUUCUGCAGAUGUAACUCCUGAUGAAAGGUCACCCUUUUCUGUCUGAAACUUUACUCACAUUGCUCUGGAUAUUGCUCCGAGCCUGUGGCACCUUAAACUCCAUUAAAGUGAUGUCACUCUGGGAUAUACUGUAUUGAUAAUAUCUAUGAACUUUGCGAAUGUUGGUAAUGUUAACGAUAAAAUUUCGUGGCUUGUAUUCCGAUUUGUUAUUCAAAGAAUAUUGGUUAAUGUUUUUAGAGCUGCCAAUAGCGAUUGAUUGAAACCCUCUCAAAAUUCACGUAGUUUCUUUUAAGAAUGGUGAGUUACUGGUACUGCAUUACUGCUGAAAAUCACAGCAAACUACUCCAUGUGUUCUAUCAUAAAGGAAUGUGGAUAAAUCUUUUAUUACCAUAACUGUCCUCCAAGACAUGUAAUUAUUUUGCGAGUCUUAAUUUAUAGUUUUGUGCUCUUGAAUUGGAUGGAUAGGUUUGUUAAUUUUUUGAGAGGCUUCCACUUCGAGUCCUUGAUCAAAAUCUUAGCGAGUCAGAUACCUUUGACAUUACACAUCUUGUAUCUUUUUGCUCGCAUGCUGAUAUCUAGUAAUACUUUUAACGUUACGUGGCAUGGACAGUGCUAAAUAGUCUUCCAGGCUUGGCACUUUUGAUAAUUCCUUAUUUUAUGAGAGUUGGAGAUUGUGAAAUAUGGGAUAUAUAUUUUAAAAGAAAACUUGUCUUCAGGCAAUAUUCCAAAUGAGAUUUGGGUGACCAUCAGUAGAAUUCAUCUGUUAUCCUUUCAUAAUUGCAAAUUUAAAUUUACCUAAUUAUUUUUUCAGUGGUUUAGCUCUUGCUGGUGUAGUUGGAAUUGUUUAGGUAUUUUUUGCAUACAGGAAAGAUUAUUUCAUUCUUAUAUUGGCAUAAUAAUGAUCAUCUGGAGCUUAACUGCUCAAAGUAUCUAAGUUAGCUUGGUUAAACAUGCAGUUGAGGUUAUUGCUUGCGAAGGUGAACUGAUGGAAUGAAUUUGCACACUCUUAAGAGAGCUGUUUAGCCUCUAUUGUUUUAGCACAGGUGUCACAGUGUGGGUUCUGGAUAUUGAGUUUGAUCAUAUUCUCGUAUUGUUUACGUUUAUGUACACGUUUACUUUAACAUGUUUUUUCAUAGUAUAAGUAAUUCCAGAAUUCUUGUUGCUAUGAUGUUUACCUAAGUGUAUAUGGUCCUGAUUAUCCUCAAGAUGUGAUAAAUGACUGCAUGCAUAAAGGUAUGCAUGCACGGCUUGGUACAUAAAUAAGAUAUAACGAGUUAUUCUAUGCUAAAUCUACCACCAGAUCUCCUCGAGCUAGAAAUACUGUAUUAGAAAUGGUAAGUUGAGGCUAAGGUGUUAUGUUCUAGAGUUCAACAGUGGCCCCUCAGGUAUCCAGGAAAGUGUUUUAAGCUGUUAUCCAAAUGGGACAUGCAGUAGUAGAUUGGUAUAGAAGAGCAUUAAGGAUUCACCUUGGUUUUUUGUUCCAUUUUUGCUAUUAUUAGCCAACAAAUACCGGUAAUUAAAUAAUUUUAAUAUGUAGUGCAGUGCCCAAAUUAGUUUUAGUCUAAUAUGAGACUUGAAUAUAUUAUACAGUAUCAAUUUAAUAUGUAAAAACAAAAAAAAAAAACUGUGGUAUUAUUUUGGCAUCAUAAGAAAUUAUGUCUUUAUUAGACAGGCAUGAAAUAUGCAAUUAAAUCCCUCAAUAACAUUGAGACAUCAUAUUUGCUGAAAUAAUCUUUUUAAAAAGAUAGCACUGGAUAUAUAGAUAUUUCUUAACGUCUUCAGCAUACUUAUUGUCCUUUUGUCUAAUGGUCAGUGAUUGGUAAAACUCAUUAAGUAACUGUGUGGGGCAGAUAAUGAACGUUUAGCACAUUUUGUUGUUAAUCUUCUGAUACAGCAUUAGAAUUAGAGUAAAAAAAGAGCAUGGCAUUUGCAUAUUUUCUUGACACAUGUUGAAGGAUGACUUAUUCCUCUCAUAACAAUUGAUUUGUAAUAAUAUGGUAUCCUCCCAUUAUUGAGACCCUGAUGACCCGUAUUUAUUGCAAGAUCAUAAGUAUUUAAUUAUUAUUUAUUUGUUAAUAAUUGCUUGAAUCUCAUAAAUCUUUUCAUUGCUUUCACUUACUAAAAUUUGUAGGUAUGUAUGAAAUGAUAAUCCUGUUCCUUUCCUGUGAUAAUUGAUGGAAAGGCUUGGGGCUUGAGAUUAAUGGGCCACUGUCCAGUCACUAAAUCUAGAACAAGCAAUCAUGGCUGUGAUAAUCUAGUUUAGCAUCUCGCCAGUAUGGAACCUACAGGCUGAGCAGUCUUGGAGGAACAUUGAACUAGCUUGUGAAGAAAAUGCCGCCAUAUGCCUCUAAUAAAAUGGGAAUAUAUACAUGCUUCUUCAUUUUAAAUUAUAUAAAGGUUUCACAAGCAUACAGGUAUUCCUUUCCAAGUAAUUUACUCAGUUGUGUGUAAAACAUCUAUUGCAGGAAGUCCAUUUAACUUGUAAUAUGUAAACGAAAUGAAUAAGCUGCUUCUGGAUGCUUUCUCUAAAUUUAAAUGUCUGAGCAGAUUGAACUGUUUUAACCCUAAAAGGCCUGUUAUAUACAGACGACUAUUUCAAGUUACUACUUUCAUUACAAUUUCCAUUAAUUAAGAAUUCAAAAUUCAAUAUUAGGUGUGAUUAAUGUUAGAAAAAUAUAGUGUUUUAUUAGCUAAAAGCUUUGACAACAAAUUUAAUUAUAUUUUGAAGUUGCAGUGAUAAGAAGUAAAGUUAUGUGUAUACGAGUAAGGUAAUUAGUCCUUGUUGAAGAUGUGUGUGUUGUUGUAGUGAUAGUAACUAUGCAGGAAACAUUGAAAAUUUAACCACAUACUGAUCUUAAUUAUGAAAAUAAAUUGCUCGAGAGCUCAAGUCUACAAGACUUAUCUGAACACUGCUUGUUGGCCAUAAAAGAAGAAAAACAUUCCAUGUAUCUAACUGAAAAUUAAAUGUAAGCAAUGCAUAGAAAUGGAAGCUUUUAUAAUAUAUGUAAAGCACAGUAAGGGUCACAAAUCUGAAUACUACUUAUGAUUGAGAAUUAAUUGGUUGAUAUAUUUGCCCGUAUGUGAACUGUUGUUCUUGUCGUGCAAGAACGUAAUCGUAUAAUAAAUUUUUUAAAGCUUAAACAUAUGCGAGUGCCAUUUUAUUCUUUGUUUUAAACAGUUAUAAAUUCUGUCAAAGCUUAUAACAUUGUGAGUGGUGGGAAUGUGUAAAGAUAUAGGAACUUUGGACUUCCAAGCAUGAUUUAGUGAUUUUAAACUAGUCUACUGUGGCACACCUUGGCUAAUAAUCUCUGUAGAUGGUGAAAGGUCUGACUAAUCUUUAUCCGCAACUUAAAUGGAUUUUUCUUGUUGAAUAUAAACGGCUUCAUUUGAAGGCCUUUUUGUUAGUCAUCUUUCAUUGGCCUGCUGAUCUAUAUUAGCCACGGAGAACAGCAAUAUCAAAAGUAUAUUGAGAGAAUAUUGCAAAUUCAUUCAAUUAAAGGUGCCACUUGACAUGUAAAUUGUAUGAAUUGAUGCAAAUGAUGCACUUGUGAUAAUUAAAAUAAUUUGACAAUGUAUAAGAAAAAUUUAGCCAGUAUUACUUGGAUGACUGUAAUUACGGUGAUCUGUGUAAAUCACAAGUUAAUUAAUGUUCUGUCAAUUACUUGUGGUAAUUGUUGUUUCAUGACACAGAAUGUAGAUAUAAUGUAGUAAAAACAUUAUGGUACAAAAUAGACACCUGGGAAUUUACCCUCUUGUCAUCUCUAUUAAUCUUGUUUCAAUGUUUUAAUUUUACCUUCAUUAUCUUUAAACAUUUUUAUGUACAUGAAUAUAGACUUUAAUUAAUCAUCAUCAUCAUGUCAUUACUUUCACAGUCAUGAACACUUAGUUAUAAAUAGUAGCAAGUUUGUUUUUUCUUGUACAUAAGGUAUGCUGCAGGGCAGUCACUUGAUAUAAAAUAUAUUUUCGAUAUAAGCAGCAAGCAGGCAAUGCUAGUGAAUCAAGAUUCAGAAACAAAAAUUCUAUCACGAUAGAUGUGCCAUAAUUUCUACUUCCAUGUAUGGUAGAGUUUUGGCGGUGGCCUUCAUUACAUGAUUUAGUUGGUUUACCGCACUCGGCCGGAAUAUAUGUACAGACCUUUGUACAUGAUUUGUUGAAUGGCUCUUAAUUUAAUUUAGUUGGAACCUUCUUCAAUUUUUUGUUUUUGUGUUUUUUUUUAUCUUACUAAAUAAAAUUAAAAAAAUAUUACAUGUAAAUUAUAGCUCUCAUGUUUGUGAUUUAAAAUGUUACUGUGUAGUAGUGAUUGUAUGUGACCAUCCUUCUAAUCCAUUAAAUUUCACUGAUUAUCCUUUAUUAAUUUUCAUUGUUGUGUAUUUAUUAUUAUUGUCAUUGUUAUCUAUUAUUAUUAUUAUUAUUGAUAUUAUUGUUUUAUUUAUUUAAUAAACACUAGUGGAAUUUAAGUUUUUGUGUAUUUCUCAGAUGUAUGUACAAAUAAGGUUAUCCCAUGGUUUUGGUUGCAUGGAAACUUUAAUCUGCUAUUCGGAGUUCAUUGUGGUAUAUUACAGUUGUUAGUCGUCAUUAGUGCUGCAUUGCUGACAGUUGUUAUCUUGUAAUGAAUACUGGAAAUAGGAUUGUCAUAGUACAAUCUUAAGGUUGAGAGUUGCAUGACACGUUACAAUGGUGUAGUAUUGACUGGCUUUGUUUUGAAGUCUGGUUUUGUGCGACACAUUUCUCGUAGAAAGCUGCGGGUUUUCUUAGGCUGUGGUUAGGCUCGACAGUCAGAGUGACAGUGGUAUGAUUUGCCAAUUCAGGUUUAUAAUGAGUUAACUUUUUUAUAAUGUAUGGUAAAUCAUAAUUUAAAGUUUUCUUCAUAAUUACUAUAGUUAAUAGGAUUAGCCGUUUUGAAUAUACAGUAUACAGUAUAUAUAUAUUUUUUUUUUGUAAGCCCGUUGCAACGGAAUGUUAUCUUCUGUUGUUUAUCCUGAUCACUCGGCAUGAAAUGUGUUUAAUCUGAAUCAGAAUAUUGAGAAUAUAGCCAUUUAUCUUCUACUUGCAGUGUUGUGGCUUUCAUUGUUGCAAGUGUUCUUACAUUCCUCCUUUUUUCUAAGCAUUCAUCUUUUUUCCUAUAUAUGUGUGUAUACUUUUUUGUUUGUUUUGUUUUGUUGGACAAAGACAGCUCAGUGCACUUAGUCAGUCCAUUAAGGAUAAAUUUGUCAUGCAUAGUAAGUUGAGUUUUUUCAUGGUUUGUGGCUGUAACUUGGGCCUUGUUAUUGUAGGGUAGUAAGUACGCAAGACCUGAAGACAAGUUACAAAUAAAUCUCGGUGCCAAAUGGACUUGUUAGGUUAAUUUAAUUUGAUUUCUUGAUUUUCUUUUCUUAUUGUGUAUCAUGAAGUUUCUUCAGAUCAAUUAUUUGUUCCAUGUUUUUAAUAAUACAAGCACAAAUAGUUUAGGCUUGCAUCAAGAAGUCCUUGUUAAUAAAUAUUUGGAGGUCUUGGAAUAGCCAGUACAGUUAUUGCAUUCGGUCUUGCAACUUGUAGCAUUGAUUUUUUGCGCACAAUCAAAUAUUAGUUUAUUUUGAUAAGAGCAGAGGAAAGAUUUCAGUGAUGCAAAUUAUACUGUAUUUGAGCUUGAGUAAAUAUUUGUUAUGCUGGGCUUCAAUUCCUAUACAGUGCUUGAGUGGUAGCAUUCAAAACUAGCUAAAUGCCAAUGAAUUGGAGCAACAAAUUAUAAGGUCAAUGUGAGUUUAAGCUUCAGCCAUUUUAUCAGCUAUUAUGUGUCGUUCCUCCGGGUAAUGGCGUAAGAAUUUGGCCCCUGUGAUCACAAGAGUUAGAUUUGUGUACAAUAUACUUGUUAUUGACUAGCAAUAUUACAUCACAGGUAAUAUAAAAAGGUAUUGCAUUUUUAAUACACAGUGAACUGAUGAGCAUCAAUUUAGUAACAAAGUAAAGUGGAUAAGGAAAGUAGUGAUUUAUUCAUGAAAAGUGGACUUUGAGAAUGGAAUUUGAAUUUUGUUGUUUUAAGAACUUGACCAAGCCACCGUGCAAUUAAUUCUAUUUUAAUUGGUCUUUAAAUUUCUGUGGAUGUAAUUUAUGUUAAGAAUUCUCAAUGUGUAAGCAACUACAUUGUACCUUAAGUACAGAAGAUAGUUUUCCACUACACAUGUCAAUUGAUGUCUUUUGAGGCAGGGACUUUUCUUGAAUGGUACGUGCUAUAUCUCUUAUGUCCACUGGAUAUGUUCGGCCCAAAACUAAAGUGGAAUUGAUAAUGUUAAAGAAAGGAAACAUAUUGUUUCUUGAAAUAUCAUCACUGUUUAAUAUAUUUUCAUUUGGGUGUCCAUAGGGUUCAUUGCUUAGUUUAUAUCAAAGGUAAAGUGAGCUUUAUUAAGUGCCAUCUCAGGCUCAACUUGGCAGAUGGUAAUGCUUUAACCGAUUUUUAUUUAGUUGGUAGAUCUGAUAAGUGAGAUAUUUGUAUUAUUUUGGAGAGGUUUUGUACAUAUUGACCAUUUCCAGGUGAAAGUAUGAAUUCUAUUGAACUAAUGAUUUUGUCCAAUAUACUGUGUAUGUAUAUAUAUAUAUAUAUAUAUAUAUAUAUAUAUAUAUAUAUAUAUAUAUAUAUAUAUAUAUAUAUAUAUAUAUAUAUAUAUACAUAUUACACAGUAUAAUGUACUGUAUAUACAAUACUUAUAUAUAUAUAAACAAUAUUUAUUUGUUUGAUGGAACUUUGAAAUCUUUAUGGUUUUAAGAUUUGUAUUUACAAUGAUGCUGUAAAUGUUUUUUUUUUUGCACUGCCAGUGCUUAUUACACUGUAUACCUCCAGAAUACAUUGUUCUUGCUUGGAAAUGGAAAAUUUGAGACUAAACGUCUGCCAAGGAGAAAGUGUAAGAGGUGGGAGCCAGGGGUAGCUUUGUACCUUUGGUAAAUAUGUAUGUCAGAGAUCUGCACAUUGGACAAACUCCUGGUCAUCCUCCUUUCUCAUAUUAGCUCAAGACAGUUCAUGCAUAAUACAGUACUGUGUGUGAUUCAUAAAUGUUAUAUUACUCUUUCUAUUUCAGGUCUUCAAACAAAAAGUUAUUACAUUAACUUUUUUUUCCAAUUCUUGUUUUCUGUAAAAUGUGAAUAAUAAACAGUGCAUGUAAAGGCACUGUCUUGGCACUUCUAACUGUAAUGUACUUAAAAACUGACUAUUUUAGCCACACUUGUGUUCCAUAAAGGAAAAAAAGGCCAUAGGCUGAGCUCAUUAGUAUAUAAAGCAACAUGUGGUGUCCUCUUUGUAUAUUUUAUGUAAUUUAUUGUGAACUGUAUAUAAAAAAAUUAAGAUGAA